AAUAGAUACCCCGGUAGUCCACGCCCUAAACGAUGUCUACUAGUUGUCGGGUCUUAAUUGACUUGGUAACGCAGCUAACGCGUGAAGUAGACCGCCUGGGGAGUACGGUCGCAAGAUUAAAACUCAAAGGAAUUGACGGGGACCCGCACAAGCGGUGGAUGAUGUGGAUUAAUUCGAUGCAACGCGAAAAACCUUACCUACCCUUGACAUGUCAGGAAUCCUGGAGAGAUCCGGGAGUGCCCGAAAGAGAGCCUGAACACAGGUGCUGCAUGGCUGUCGUCAGCUCGUGUCGUGAGAUGUUGGGUUAAGUCCCGCAACGAGCGCAACCCUUGUCAUUAGUUGCUACGAAAGGGCACUCUAAUGAGACUGCCGGUGACAAACCGGAGGAAGGUGGGGAUGACGUCAAGUCCUCAUGGCCCUUAUGGGUAGGGCUUCACACGUCAUACAAUGGUGCAUACAGAGGGCUGCCAACCCGCGAGGGGGAGCUAAUCCCAGAAAGUGCAUCGUAGUCCGGAUCGCAGU
rnacentral:rRNA from 1 species